UUCGCCCAAUGUUCUUGAUAUCACACUUGUAGAUCUCCCAGGCUUAACGAAGGUUCCAGUUGGUGAUCAACCUUCUGACAUUGAAGCCCGGAUUAGAACAAUGAUCAUGUCAUAUAUCAAAACUCCAACCUGUCUCAUUCUUGCUGUUACACCAGCAAAUUCAGAUUUGGCCAAUUCAGACGCUCUUCAGAUGGCAGGAAUUGCCGAUCCUGAUGGUGGCUUUUGCUUCCAUUCCAUAUACCUAAAACUUUAAUCUUUUCACAUCUCUUUGAUAUGUUUUUAAAUGUUUAUAUCUCUGUUGCAGGUAAUAGAACAAUUGGUGUAAUCACAAAGGUUCAGUAUACUCUUCUAAUAUUCUCACUUGUCUGUGUAUUUGUGAAAUGUGUUAUGCUAUUGCAGCGUUUGACAAUGAUAGGCAUGUAUUAUUUGAAAUGCAGUUGGAUAUCAUGGACAGAGGUACUGAUGCCCGGAAUCUGUUACAAGGAAAAGUUAUUCCCCUCCGACUUGGUUAUGUUGGCGUUGUAAAUCGAAGUCAGGAGGUAAUGAUGUUAUCCUUCUGUGGUGAAGGCAGCAUUUGACUAUUCCUUUGCACGUUUUCAAUUUGAUAUUUUGUUAAACUUGUUAUCGGUACAUGUACUGUUCAUAAAGAGAACUUUGUGAGUAAACAUGCACAUGUAAUUUGCUUCAUUAGGAUGCAGGUCAAUGUGUGAUACUGAAAAUUGGUUUGUCUGUUGUCUCAUUAAAUUAGGACAUUCAAAUGAAUCGGAGUAUAAAGGAUGCUCUUGUUAGUGAAGAGAAAUUUUUCCGCAGUCGUCCUGUAAGGAAGUUCCUCUGCCUUAUAUUUAAGCCUUCUUACUUUUACAUACUGUUUUAAAUCCAUUUAUGCUAUUCAUGUUAGGUAUACAGUGGUGUAGCAGAUAGUUGUGGUGUUCCUCAACUGGCAAAGAGGUUGAACAAGGUAUAGUCUUCAACUCCAAUGUUGAGAACACAAUUUGUCUUUACCUAUGUAUUUUACUUUUUAAAAUGCUGGCAGCUGCCUCAAUUUUAAUAUUCUGUGUGGCAAGCAUGCAAAGACUUCCUGCUUGGCUUGAUUUAAAAUAUCUAUUGACUAUAGGAGGUUGGCUUAAAAGAAAUGUACUUGUUCCAUCAUCAAUACUGAUCUUGUGGUGGUUUUGGAAAUUUAUUUUAAUCAGCUGCAUCAUCCUUUGAAAAGGGAGAGGAAGGAGAGUUGGAAUAACCAACUUUUUUUUGGGUGCUUCAAAAUGAACUUUAUAUCAUGAUUUAUUUGUUGCUUGGGGUGAGUUUGAAGAGAUUAUGACCAAGUUAUAACUUUCCCAGACUAAAUUUAUGCUUUGUCAUCAUUGGAAAUGGAAAAUUGUUAGAUGAUUCUUGAUGUAUACAGUAAAAUGAACUAAAUUCUUACAAAUUGCAUAAAAAGUUAAACCAGUGCAAAUUCUUUUAAGUUGCAAUUUUUGGAGCGAUACAUGCUGUAAUGUGUACAUUUGCCUGUCCAUCAAUUUGUAGAUUCUAGCACAACAUAUCAAGGCUGUGCUACCAGGGCUGAGAGCACGUAUAAGCACUUCACUAGUCACUGUUGCGAAGGAACAUGCUAGCUAUGGAGAAAUCACUGAAUCCAAGGCAUGUGUUAAUAUUGGAUGUGUCUUGAAUCUUGAUAUGCCCCUAUGACUUGUUUAAUAUUUAAAUAGUUAUAUAUGCUGUAUAACACAUCUUGUUGUAAUUAAAAAGCACCUUUUUUCUACUUUUGGCUGGUUUUUUGCCUUAUUUUAUAUAUAAUUGUUCAUCUCCAAUAGGCUGGUCAGGGUGCUCUUCUCCUGAAUAUCCUUUCAAAAUAUUCUGAAGGUACCUAACAUCCCUACUAUCUGGUUUCUUAUCUCCUUUUCAUCCUUCCAUUUGAAAGCUCAUAUUUUCUUUCUUUUUGUAUUUAUGAAGUAUUACUCUACCUAAUUACAUUUUCUAAUUCAAUAAGUGAUAUCUUCAUUUUCUUUCUAACAGCAUUUUCCUCCAUGGUUGAGGGAAAGAAUGAGAUACGAUAUAGUAUAAAAGCUAUUUCCUCAUGCAAUGGUGGUUGGUCAGUGUAAUGAAAGUAUAAAAAUUAAGGGGAUGUUUGUGUAAAUGUAAAAAAGUGAUGGUGAUUUAUGUAAUUUCACUAAAACUCAGAGGGUGUCGGUAUAAUUAACUCUAUUUUUUAUUUCACUUUUGCUAUGAAUUAUGAAUGCUAAUGGGUGGUAGAGCUGUCACAUUGGAGCAUUUUGGGAUCAUAGAUUUGUCUCCGUAAAUCUGCCCUACCCAUAAAUUCAGAAAAUAUUUUAAAUGACAAGAAGAAGAAAAACAUAAUUUAAAGUAAGUGCACAACUUUAAAUUGUAAUUUAAAUAUAGACAAUAAAAGAAGAAGAAAAAUGAUAAUAACAAUUAUAAAAUAUAAUUAAAGUAUAAGUACACAACUUUAAAUUGUGAUUUAAUUCUAGACUAAAAAACAUAAUUUAAAAUAAGACAAUAAAUAUAUAAAUAAUUUAUGUUUGGUGUACUUUAUAUUAUAAUUUUUCUUUAUUAUAAUGUUCAAUUUAAUGUGAGAGGAAUGAUUAAUAUGUCUUUGCUCGUUACAUAGGAAUAUAUGGUUUUUUAUAGAAAUUAAAUAAGGUUAAGGAUAAAACAGAAAAAGGAAAUUACUUCAGGGUGGUAGUUACACUCAAUAUUGCUUGAUACUACGUAUUUAAUUUUAAUAUAAUUUAUUUUUUGUAAUUAGAAUAUAUUUGUUGUAUUCAAUGCACUUUAUAUUAUAGUUUUUGUGCGUUUAUGAUAAUGUUUAGUUUAAGGUGAGAUGUGUGGUUAAUUAAUAUGUUGGUAGUUGUUAAUUAGGAUUAUAUGGUUUUUUGUAAAAAUUAAAUAAUGGAAAUGGACAAAAUAGGAAGUGGAAAUUACACCAUGACGGAAGUUACACCAUAUUUUGACUUUAUAUAUAGUAUAGAGUAUAUAUAUAUAAUAUAGAGGAGAGAUCCGUUUAUACUCAAGUUAAGUUACGCUCAAUUUUAGUCAUCCACUUUUUUCAAUCCAACAGACCAAAUGCGUGAAACUUAAAAGUUGUUUAAGAUUUCUCUUUUUCUCUCAUCAUUUAUUUCACCCACUCAUUUAUUUGGGUGUAAACAAAUUCAUCUUCAUAUAUAUAUAUAUAUAUAUAUAUUAGGAAUUACAGGUUUGGAUAUGCACAAAUCUAAGUAUCCUAUUACCCAGAUCCAAAAUUGUUCAACAUAGGGUUUUUAAAAUCCUCAGUCUCAACUAUACGUGAGUCCAAAAAUAAGGACUCAAACCUAAUGAUUAUGAGUAUUACAGGCAAGUACUCCUACAACUAGGUUCAUAUUGUGAUUCCUACUAUGAAUAAAUAAUAAAUUUGAAGGUUAAUUAUUAGAAAAUUUUAGGUUAUAUUUAGACAAUUAUUGUCAAUUAUACGUAGCUAUUUUAUCUAAGUUAGUCAUUUGGUUUAUUUGAUAAAAAAAUAUUUAUCGUGUCAGUGUUUAAUAAAGAUACUUAGUUUAAUGUUACUUAUAAAUUUAUAUUUAAUAAUCUAGUUAUGGUAGCUUAUGACUUAUACAUAAUAAACUAAAAUUAUCAUAUAGUUUAUAUCAAUUAGAUAGAUUGUUAACUUUAAUUUUUAUCUCCUAACUUAUAAAUUUUAACUAGUUAAUAUUAGUUAUACCAUAUAAAACAAAUAAAAUGUGGGUGUGUAUUGAUGAACUCAAUCAAAUAUAAUUGGUUAACCCCUAUCCCAUAUUAUUCUCACUUAUUUAUUUUUAUUUUUUGCUUUUUAAUUUGAACAAGCAAAUAUUACUCCCUCUUUAAAAAAAAGUAGCAAAAAGUGAUUAAGACAGAGUAAAAGUGUGAGAUGAAGUUUUCAGUUUUGAUGAAGAUGAACUUUGCAAUUAUAAUGAAGUUUUUUUAUCAUCAUCGAUCAAGCUAUUCAAUAAUAUUAAGUUGUCAAAGUUGUUAUGUUAGAAGAAAAAAAAUUCUGCUCAUUGUGUAUUAAUCCUCCUUUGGAGUUCAAAAUAAAAGAAAUUCUAUGAUUAUUAUAUAUAAUUAUUUUGCAUAAUAUUUUAACUUCAAGCAUAACAAUUGAUCGAUCCAAAUCAGUUCAUCAAUGUUUGGUUCAUUUCAUCGAAAUUUAAUAUAUUAAGCAUAAUAAUUUUCAACAUAUAUAUAUCAACACAAGCAUAAUAAUUUUCAACAUAUACUCAAUAAAUAUCUCUAUUUUUAUUUUAUUUAUUUAAAUAGCUAAUUAUACAAAUUAUUUAUUUUAUUUUAUUAUUUAUAGAAACUACCCCUAUUUAUAUUCAUAUAUUAUACUAACUAUCUUUCUAUGAUAAUGAAUGUAGUGAAGUUAAACAUAUAUGUUAUAUUACGAAGAUAAAUCUAAAUAAUAUAAGAGUCAAUAUCUCUUCAUUAUUUUUAUUCGUUAGAAAAUACAUUAGUAAUUCUAAGGAGAUAUUGUUUAAAUUACUCUUAUAUUAUAUUAUAUUAUAUUAUAACAAAUCAAAAACAAUGAAGAUAUAUUGACUCGUAUACUAUUUCGAUUUAUCUUCAUAAUAUACAAUAUUUUAUUGAACUUAAUUAGACUUAUCACAAUUUUUAUUAAAUAUUACACUUAUCUCUCAUUUCAACAUAUAAAUUAGAGGUCGUUUAUAUAUAUUUAAAAAUGAAAGAAUAGUAUGUGUAAUUUCAAAGAUGUUAGUAUAAUUUAGACUUCAUCACAUAGUUAAUAUGAGAAUAAAAUAUAUCCUUAUAUAAAGAGAUAAAUUAUCUCUUUCUGCCAGUGAAAUCAUGACAAAUGUCAUGUUUUAUAAAAAUAUUUUUAAAACUAAACAAAAUGAUACACAUACUAUACUUUUACUGGUCAAAGAAGAUAAAUUAUAUUCCUGAUAUGAGAAGAUAUAUUAUUCCCUACUAAUAUUGCAUAAUUUGCAUUAAAUUGUUAGGUAAACUUGUUUUUAAUUUAACUAUAGUUACAGUAAAAAUUUUGUAUUACGAAAUUACUGCGCAGUAAGAAAGAAGAAAAGGUUUAUAGUAAUUGAAAUGACUCAAAUGAGGGUUCUUUCUUUCUUUUCAAACCAUCAAAUAUUCAAUCAAUGGCGGAGGAGGCAGUUACACUUCCACCACCGUCUUCUUCCACUUCUCCUCUCGGUUCCUCCGUCAUCUCCCUCGUUAACCGUCUUCAGGACAUCUUCUCCCGUCUCGGUAGUCACUCCACCAUCGACCUCCCUCAGGUCGCCGUCGUCGGCAGCCAGAGCAGUGGUAAAUCCAGCGUCCUCGAAGCUCUUGUCGGCCGUGACUUUCUCCCUCGCGGAAAUGAUAUUUGCACGCGCCGCCCUCUCGUUCUCCAGCUGGUUCAAACAAAGAGGAAGAGCGAUGGCUCUGAAGAUGAGUAUGGCGAGUUCCUUCAUUUGCCUGGAAAGAGGUUCUUCGAUUUCGCUGAUAUUCGUAGGGAAAUUGAGGUGAUAUAUCUUAUCGUUGUAUAAUAAUCUCUUCUUAUUUUGUUUUGUUGAAGUUUAAUUGUAGAGAGGUGUUUUUGCUUUAUUGUUUGUAGUUGCUGAGAUUUUUAGUUAGUGGAGAUAGGAAACUUGUACCGUGUGUUUGAAUAAUUUUUUUGAGGGAGGAUUGUGAUUUUAAAAUGGUAUAUAAGUUAAAAUUAUUGGUUUGGAUGUUUGAUGAAAGAAUUUUGAAAUUUCGGAGUAUUUAUGCUGAGUGUGUUUUUAAUAUCAAAAUGUGGGAUUGAAAAUGAUAUAUGGAGACCUGGAAUUUCAAAUAUUCUAUUGGAGUUGGCCUGUGAACCAACACUGGUGAUGGAAGGAGGAGGUGCGAGCACUCUCGUUCCGAUUCACCCACACAAUUUUGAUGUGUUAUCUUGUAACAAAACAACUGAAUACCUCUUUGUUUUGAUUACUAGCUUGAGUGAUGAAUGCCAGCAAGGAGAUAUGAGAGUGCUGAAGAGCGGAAUAUUACAUGUUUUGGACAAAGUGUCAAGCAUAUAAUUAGAAAUAAAAAGUAAUUUUCGAAAUAUAGGGGAAUAAAUUGAUGCAAUUUAAUUCCUUUUCAUUUUGGAUUCACUGAAAUUUCAAAAUAUCUUUAUCUUACCCAAACACACACUUAGCAUUCCACGUUAUGGUUUACUGUCGCUGAGGAGUGUGGUGCGUAAUUUUUAUGUUUUGACUUUUAGAAGUGACAUGGAGAAUAUUAGUGAGGGCUUGAGGCUAUAGGAGUGAGUAAAGAAAAAGAGUUGGGGUUUAGGGUUUUUUUGUCUCAAGUUCAAUCUCAUAGAACAUAGUUUGUUCAUUGGGACAAUUUACAUGCAUAUAUUUAGUCCUUGAUCCAUUAGCCAUAGGGAUGUGGAACAAGCAUGAGUUUGUUAAUUAGAAGGCUCUUCUAAUGCCGGGGGAUUGACAUGAAGUGGUUAUCAUCCAGGUCAUAGCCUUGGAGAGCAGUAGUUCUCUUGAUUAUUUAAUCUCAAAUGUCAUGCUUGUUUGGCUAAGCAUGACCUUGUAUCUUGAUGGGUUAGAUCCUAUCGGACACUCCUUUCCUUAUUGUAACAUUUGGUUUGACUUGUCUACGUCUGAAUAAAAGGAAGAGUCCUUAAUGCCAUUUUGUGAAAAUGAGGGUGACCACUUUCGGUCAGGAAUCAUGACGGUUAUUUUCUCCAUCCAGAGAAGUAGUUGCCUUUAUCCUUCACUCACAAUAAGGGGACACAACCAAAUUAAUCAUCACCGAACCGGGUUGAACUUACUCAACUUAGGUGAAACAAUUUGGCAGUGAUCCUCGAUGGUCAUGUUCAUAUAUUUGAAGUUGACCUUAGGAGUUUAUUGCAUCCAUUAGUCCAAUCAUAGAGCAACCAUAUAGUGAACAAAUUAUUAUUGGAGAGUUGAUCCAUUGAGAUUAGUGAAUUAGAUUAAAAAUAAAUGUAGACUAGUUGAAUGAGCUUUGAGGGGUAUUGUUUUCUCAUUUGUCACUACAGUUUUCAAUGCACCAUCAACAUCACCCCGAUAUUGACCUGUCAUUGUUGUCCUGGUUGAAGGUCCAUAGUCCACUGGAACUGGUUUUCAUGUUUUAAGCGUGAAAAACAGUUGACUUUGAGAUUUCCAUUAUUCGCAUCUGCAUAGCACAUAUACUUCACAAGCAAUAUUUUAAAUUGCGGUUGCGAUAACGAUUGUGGUUACUGCGAUUGCGGUCAUUGUGGCCGUUGCGAUGUGGAUUGUGGCUGUUGCGGUGUGAAUUAUAUUGUGAGUAAAAAAAUAUUUUUGAUAUUGAUGCAGCCGAUGCAGUUACGUUGCGGUCCGUUGCGGUCACAUCAUUGUGAUUCAGUGUCACACCGCAAUUGCGGUGUGAUGCGGUAAUAAUACAUUAUAAAGUUAUUAGUUUAUUUCCUUUUCUUUAAUAUCCCACCGUGGACUUGUAAUAUCUUUAUCCUCUUUUUGUAGGCUGAAACUGAUAGGGAAGUAGGAGAGAACAAAGGUGUCUCUGACAAGCAGAUUCGACUGAAGAUUUUUUCGCCCAAUGUUCUUGAUAUCACACUUGUAGAUCUCCCAGGCUUAACGAAGGUUCCAGUUGGUGAUCAACCUUCUGACAUUGAAGCCCGGAUUAGAACAAUGAUCAUGUCAUAUAUCAAAACUCCAACCUGUCUCAUUCUUGCUGUUACACCAGCAAAUUCAGAUUUGGCCAAUUCAGACGCUCUUCAGAUGGCAGGAAUUGCCGA
rnacentral:lncRNA from 1 species